CUUUCCUCCGCCACACUCCCGCCCGGACGCAGUCUGUGGCGCGCGCCGGUGCGAGAUCGAGGGAAAAAUGUAACAGAAAAAAUUGCAAAGUGCAAGCGAGCAACGGAGGCUAGCCAUGUUUAGUACAGGUUUCCUUCACGUGGGUCUCGCGCCAGUGCAUGCGGGGCCGGCAUAGUGAAACGUGGCGGGCACUCCGUAGAGUUUUGGCGGUAGUGCACACGUUGGUGAACAGUGAAAAUCGCAAAGCCUCGAGAAAAGAAUACUCUAUUAUACGAAUGACUUUGGUGAUAAAGCCAGAAAGGUGUCACACAUAAGAAUAUAUCUCCAUAUAAGCCCCCCCCCCACAAAAAAGGGGAUUAAUAAGAAAUAAGGAAAAAAAUUGAGCGGUGGUGACGCGUUCGUAGAGAAGAAUUGCUUGGGGCAAGACACGAUCACAGAUAGACAGACAGUGGGAGAGGGAGAUAUAUAUAUAAAUCUGUGUCACACUUAAGAAAACGUCUCC